rnacentral:rRNA from 1 species
AUUGAACGCUGGCGGCAGGCCUAACACAUGCAAGUCGAGCGGAUGACGGGAGCUUGCUCCUGGAUUCAGCGGCGGACGGGUGAGUAAUGCCUAGGAAUCUGCCUGGUAGUGGGGGACAACGUUUCGAAAGGAACGCUAAUACCGCAUACGUCCUACGGGAGAAAGCAGGGGACCUUCGGGACUGGCUCUCUCAGAUGAGCCUAGGUCGGAUUAGCUAGUUGGUGAGGUAAUGGCUCACCAAGGCGACGAUCCGUAACUGGUCUGAGAGGAUGAUCAGUCACACUGGAACUGAGACACGGUCCAGACUCCUACGGGAGGCAGCAGUGGGGAAUAUUGGACAAUGGGCGAAAGCCUGAUCCAGCCAUGCCGCGUGUGUGAAGAAGGUCUUCGGAUUGUAAAGCACUUUAAGUUGGGAGGAAGGGCAGUAAGCGAAUACCUUGCUGUUUUGACGUUACCGACAGAAUAAGCACCGGCUAACUCUGUGCCAGCCGCCGCGGUAACAC